UACGAAGGGGGCUAGCGUUGCUCGGAAUCACUGGGCGUAAAGGGUGCGUAGGCGGGUUUUUAAGUCAGGGGUGAAAUCCUGGAGCUCAACUCCAGAACUGCCUUUGAUACUGAGGAUCUCGAGUCCGGGAGAGGUGAGUGGAACUCCGAGUGUAGAGGUGAAAUUCGUAGAUAUUCGGAAGAACACCAGUGGCGAAGGCGGCUCACUGGCCCGGUACUGACGCUGAGGUGCGAAAGCGUGAGGAGCAAACAGG
rnacentral:rRNA from 1 species